rnacentral:rRNA from 1 species
GAUGAACGCUGGCGGCGUGCCUAAUACAUGCAAGUCGAGCGAACAGACGAGGAGCUUGCUCCUCUGACGUUAGCGGCGGACGGGUGAGUAACACGUGGAUAACCUACCUAUAAGACUGGGAUAACUUCGGGAAACCGGAGCUAAUACCGGAUAAUAUAUUGAACCGCAUGGUUCAAUAGUGAAAGACGGUUUUGCUGUCACUUAUAGAUGGAUCCGCGCCGCAUUAGCUAGUUGGUAAGGUAACGGCUUACCAAGGCGACGAUGCGUAGCCGACCUGAGAGGGUGAUCGGCCACACUGGAACUGAGACACGGUCCAGACUCCUACGGGAGGCAGCAGUAGGGAAUCUUCCGCAAUGGGCGAAAGCCUGACGGAGCAACGCCGCGUGAGUGAUGAAGGUCCUCGGAUCGUAAAACUCUGUUAUUAGGGAAGAACAAAUGUGUAAGUAACUAUGCACGUCUUGACGAUACCUAAUCAGAAAGCCACGGCUAACUACGUG